GACGAACGCUGGCGGCGUGCCUAAUACAUGCAAGUCGAGCGAAUCUUCGGGAGCUUGCUCCCGAAGAUUAGCGGCGGACGGGUGAGUAACACGUGGGCAACCUGCCUGUAAGACUGGGAUAACUUCGGGAAACCGGAGCUAAUACCGGAUAAUUCUUUUCCUCUCAUGAGGAGAAGCUAAAAGAUGGCAUCUCGCUAUCACUUACAGAUGGGCCCGCGGCGCAUUAGCUAGUUGGUGAGGUAACGGCUCACCAAGGCAACGAUGCGUAGCCGGCCUGUGAGGGUGAUCGGCCACACGGGGACUGAGACACGGCCCAGACUCCUACGGGAGGCAGCAGUAGGGAAUCUUCCGCGAUGGACGAAAGUCUGACGGAGCAACGCCGCGUGAGUGAUGAAGGUUUUCGGAUCGUAAAACUCUGUUGUUAGGGAAGAACAAGUACCGGAGUAACUGCCGGUACCUUGACGGUACCUAACCAGAAAGCCACGGCUAACUACGUGCCAGCCGCCGCGGUAAAAC
rnacentral:rRNA from 1 species